rnacentral:Y_RNA from 1 species
GGCUGGUCCAAAGAUAGUGAGUUAUCUCAAUUGAUUGUUCACAGUCAGUUACAGAUCAAACUCCUUGUUCUACUCUUUCCCCUCUUCUCUACUGCACUUGAAUAGUCUUAA